rnacentral:tRNA from 4 species
CGGGGUGUGGCGCAGCUUGGUAGCGCACCUGCAUGGGGUGCAGGGGGUCGCCGGUUCAAGUCCGGCCACCCCGACCA